rnacentral:rRNA from 1 species
CGACCAUCCGGCACUACCCCGGCGACCUGGGUGCCUAUAAGACCUACCUCGUCGCCUCCCUCGCGCCACCGAACCCUAAUCCCUUUUCCCUCGCGCCCCCUCUCCCUCUGCCACUCGCGCUCGACGCCGCUGCCGCCACCGCGUCGGCGGCGGCGGCGCGCACCGGUGCCUCGCCAAGUUUCACGUCGACGCCCGAGGACCAGAUCGAGCCGGGACGCCCUCGAAGCGUCACCACCAACUGUCUUCUCCGCCACGGUCGUCGCCGCCUCUCCGCUCGAUUCGCCGCCUACGAGCCUCCCCCGAGCCCGCUGCCCUCCCCUACAGAUUCGCCACCUCGAGACUGACGUUGCCGCCGAGGACGACUACGCUCUGACGAUCAGUACUUUUCAGCAGAGCUUCCAGAUGGUGGAUCCUUGGAGCCAGAUGCCCCGCCGAUGGAUGCUACUACGUGGAGACCGCCGACGACCAGGAGUAGUUAGGAGGUCCCAGACAGGAGGCCUUGCCUCUUCGAUCGUGUUGCUUUUGUGUUGGCCUUCUUAAGGCAUCCUUGUUUAACUUAUGUCUGUACUCAGAUAUUGUUGCUUCCGCUGACUCUUGUGUAUCGAGCUAUGUAUUCGUGCCCUCGAGGGCCUUGGCUUGUAAUAUAAAGCUUGUAUUAUUUUGAUUUGUAUCUAGAGUUGUGUUGUGAUAUCUUCCCGUGAGUCCCUG